UACGGAGGGUGCAAGCGUUAUCCGGAUUCACUGGGUUUAAAGGGUGCGUAGGCGGGCAGGUAAGUCAGUGGUGAAAUCUCCGAGCUUAACUCGGAACUGCCGUUGAUACUAUUUGUCUUGAAUAUUGUGGAGGUAAGCGGAAUAUGUCAUGUAGCGGUGAAAUGCUUAGAUAUGACAUAGAACACCAAUUGCGAAGGCAGCUUACUACACAACGAUUGACGCUGAGGCACGAAAGCGUGGGGAUCAAACAGG
rnacentral:rRNA from 1 species